GAACAGUCCACUGGGUUGAACUACCUAAGAUAUCAAAUGCAUUUCAGAAUGCGCACAAUAAGCUUUCGUCUGGUUCGGUGCUCUCUGAUCGUGACUCCUUGCUCUCUCUUUUGACUAGGCCUUUCCUUGCUUCUAAGUUUCGUGAGCAGCAAUCGUCAACACAUUGCAUCUGUUUUAUUUGAUUAUGUGAAAGAUAACAUUUUCUUUAAUGCAAGAACGUGACUUGUUCAUUCGACUAUGUGGUUCCAGAGAUCGAGCGGAUCGAAGAAAUACUUGCAAUGUCGAAUGGAAAGACACUUGAUGGUGAAACAAGACCUAUCAGAGCUUAGUUUCUGCAAUGCUACAACAGAUUUAUCUGAGAAUCCCUUAUCCCUCU